CCUACGGGAGGCUGCAGUGGGGAAUAUUGGACAAUGGGGGGAACCCUGAUCCAGCCAUGCCGCGUGUGUGAAGAAGGCCCUCGGGUUGUAAAGCACUUUCAGUGAGGAAGAACGCCUGGUGGUUAAUACCCAUCAGGAAAGACAUCACUCACAGAAGAAGCACCGGCUAACUCCGUGCCAGUAGCCGCGGUAAUACGGAGGGUGCGAGCGUUAAUCGGAAUUACUGGGCGUAAAGCGCGCGUAGGUGGCUUGAUAAGCCGGUUGUGAAAGCCCCGGGCUCAACCUGGGAACGGCAUCCGGAACUGUCAAGCUAGAGUGCAGGAGAGGAAGGUAGAAUUCCCGGUGUAGCGGUGAAAUGCGUAGAGAUCGGGAGGAAUACCAGUGGCGAAGGCGGCCUUCUGGACUGACACUGACACUGAGGUGCGAAAGCGUGGGUAGCAAACAGGAUUAGAUACCCGGGUAGUC
rnacentral:rRNA from 1 species